rnacentral:rRNA from 1 species
AUUGAACGCUGGCGGCAUGCCUUACACAUGCAAGUCGAACGGUAACAGGUCUUCGGAUGCUGACGAGUGGCGAACGGGUGAGUAAUACAUCGGAACGUGCCCGAUCGUGGGGGAUAACGGAGCGAAAGCUUUGCUAAUACCGCAUACGAUCUACGGAUGAAAGCAGGGGACCGCAAGGCCUUGCGCGGACGGAGCGGCCGAUGGAAGAUUAGGUAGUUGGGGGGAUAAAAGCUUACCAAGCCGACGAUCUGUAGCUGGUCUGAGAGGACGACCAGCCACACUGGGACUGAGACACGGUCCAGACUCCUACGGGAGGCAGCAGUGGGGAAUUUUGGACAAUGGGCGAAAGCCUGAUCCAGCCAUGCCGCGUGCAGGAUGAAGGCCUUCGGGUUGUAAACUGCUUUUGUACGGAACGAAAAGCCUCUUUCUAAUAAAGGGAGGUCAUGACGGUACCGUAAGAAUAAGCACCGGCUAACUACGUGCCAGCCGCCGCAGUAAUAC